CACUGCUCAGUCCUCUGCCAUUUAGGAGUUAAAUCCCUUUGUUUAUGAACUCUAGUCACACCUCCCUGCAUGUGACUUGCACAACCUUCCAUAAACACUUCCUGUAAAGAGAGCCCUAUUUAGGCUUUCUUUAUUGCAAGUUCUGUUUAAUUAAGAUUUUCUUAUCCCCUGCUAUGUUAAUAGCUUGCUAGACCCUGCAAGAGCCUCCUGUAUGUUAUUAAAGUUCAAUUUAGAGAUUGAGAUACAAUUAUUUAAGGUAAAUUACAUCUGUUUGAAAGUGAAACCAGUUUUU